CUACGGGUUGCAGCAGUGAGGAAUAUUGGUCAAUGGGCGAGAGCCUGAACCAGCCAUGCCGCGUGCAGGAUGACGGCCCUAUGGGUUGUAAACUGCUUUUGUACGGGAAGAAUAGGCGCCACGUGUGGCGAUUUGACGGUACCGUACGAAUAAGCACCGGCUAACUCCGUGCCAGCAGCCGCGGUAAUACGGAGGGUGCAGGCGUUAUCCGGAUUUAUUGGGUUUAAAGGGUGCGUAGGCGGGCUUAUAAGUCAGUGGUGAAAUCUCGUGGCUCAACCAUGAAAUUGCCAUUGAUACUGUAGGCCUAGAAGAUAGUUGAGGUAGGCGGAAUGUGUCAUGUAGCGGUGAAAUGCUUAGAUAUGACCCAGAACACCAAUUGCGUAGGCAGCUUGCUAAACUAUUACUGACGCUGAUGCACGAAAGCGUGGGUAGCGAACAGGAUUAGAUACCCGGGUAGUC
rnacentral:rRNA from 1 species